AGGCCCGCUAGGGGAUCCGCGCCAUGGAGGCCGCCCGGGACUAUGCAGGAGCCCUCAUCAGGCGAGUGCCCCGCGUCCCCCUGAUUGCCGUGCGCUUCCAAUCGCCUUGCGUUCGGUGGCCUCAUAUUCCCCUGUGCGCCUCUAGUACCGUACCCCGCUCCCUUCAGCCCCCUGCUCCCCGCAUUCUCUUGCGCUCCGCGACCCCGCGCACACACCCAUCCGCCCCACUGGUGCCCAAGCCGUCCAGCCGCGCCCGCGGGCAGAGCCCAAUCCCGUCCCGCGCCUCCUCACCCUCUUGCAGCUGGGCACAGGUACCAGGUGUGGCUCUUGCGAGGUGCGCGGGCGUCUGCAAACCAGGUGACAGCUGGCGAGUGGCUGCAUGCAUCUCUGGCCGCUGCUGCAGUCGCGGGCGCAGAAGAGGGUCCGGUCCCAGGAACCCCGAGCAAAGCUUCCGCGAUGCGAGGGGACCGGGCUUCUGGGGGUCCUGGAAAUCACAACGGGAGCUGGGCGCGGGAGGGGCCCAGGCUUGGCCCCUCCUGGAAGCGCGGGCUCUGGUCUCCGAGGGGAGGCCCCAACCGUCCGGCGGAGCCCUCCAGGCCCCUGACAUUUAUGGGAUCACAGACUAAGCGAGUCCUGUUCACCCCGCUCAUGCAUCCAGCUCGCCCUUUCCGGGUCUCCAACCAUGACAGGAGCAGCCGGCGUGGGGUGAUGGCAAGCAGCCUGCAGGAGCUCAUCAGCAAGGGAGGAUGCAGGGAUGGAGCCGACUUUGGAAGUCUGGGUUUGGUUGUAAAGGCCAGGAUCUAGAACAGUGUCCUAGACCACCAAAUAAGGAAGAAUCCCAGCCUCUCAGAGAAGCAUAACUCAGACUCAGGCACCCAUGGAAACAAGAAACAAGCAUCCAACAUGCAGUCUCUGAAGCAAGAGAGACACUCAGCUACGCACACGAGGCUGUGGCUCUUACAGCAGCAAACAUGCAAGAGCUUUCUUUUUAUUCAUCUAAAUAAAUAGACUCUGGAUGCCCUCGUCAUCGCUACCGGACUGGUCACUCUGGUGCUGGAGGAAGAUGGCACCGUGGUGGACACAGAAGAGUUCUUUCAGACCUUGGGAGACAACACGCAUUUCAUGAUCUUGGAAAAAGGACAGAAGUGGAUGCCGGGCAGCCAGCACGUCCCCACUUGCUCGCCGCCGAAGAGGUCGGGAAUAGCGAGAGUCACCUUCGACUUGUACAGGCUGAACCCCAAGGACUUCAUCGGCUGCCUUAACGUGAAGGCCACCAUGUAUGAGAUGUACUCCGUGUCCUACGACAUCCGGUGCACGGGACUCAAGGGCCUGCUGAGGAGUCUGCUGCGGUUCCUGUCCUACUCCGCCCAGGUGACGGGACAGUUUCUCAUCUAUCUGGGCACAUACAUGCUCCGGGUGCUGGAUGACAAGGAAGAGCGGCCAUCCCUCCGGUCACAAGCCAAGGGCAGGUUCACGUGUGGAUAGGGAUGCAGGCUGUCGCCGGCUCUUGAGCCAAACACUGUGUUUCGUUUGGCUCAAUGACGAAUGUUGAAGAUGCUUUUAUGUUCUGAGCCACAUGCACUUGGAGGCCGCUGGUCACGCUGCUCAGGAGUGGUGCCCAGAAAAGGAAAGGGCUUGGUGGUACAUGAAGUGGGGGCAGUGGGCAGGGUGCCCUGGGGGGGAGGCAUAGAGGGCCCUGGGGGUCAUGGGAAGCGAGCACGCAGCAGGCGUGCCCAGGAGCGUGUGCAUGUGUCAGAGCCAUUUGGUCCAUCAUCUCCUGCAAUAAACCCAUCGCAAGAAUGACCUUCAA